rnacentral:rRNA from 1 species
CAGUCGCCGCGGGAAUACGGAGGGUGCGAGCGUUAAUCGGAAUUACUGGGCGUAAAGCGUGCGCAGGCGGUUUGUUAAGACAGAUGUGAAAUCCCCGGGCUUAACCUGGGAACUGCAUUUGUGACUGGCCGGCUAGAGUAUGGCAGAGGGAGGUGGAAUUCCACGUGUAGCAGUGAAAUGCGUAGAUAUGUGGAGGAACACCAAUUGCGAAGGCAGCUUACUAAGGUAUGAUUGACGCUGAUGCACGAAAGCGUGGGGAUCAAACAGGAUUAGAUACCCCUGUAGUCCCUGUCUCUUAUAA